AGAGUUUGAUUCUGGCUCAGAACGUACGCUGGCGGCACGCCUAACACAUGCAAGUCGAACGAAGUAGCAAUACUUAGUGGCAGACGGGUGAGUAACAUGUAGGUAUCUGCCCUUUGGCCUGGAAUAACACGAGGAAACUUGUGCUAAUACCGGAUAAGUCUUUACGGAGAAAGCUUUAUGCACCAUUGGAUGAGCCUGCACUUGAUUAGUUUGUUGGUGGGGUAAUGGCCUACCAAGACUGUGAUCAAUAGCUGAUUUGAGAGGAUGAUCAGCCACAUUGGGACUGAGACACGGCCCAAACUCCUACGGGAGGCAGCAGUGGGGAAUCUUGCACAAUGGAGGAAACUCUGAUGCAGCGAUGCCGCGUGAGUGAAGAAGGCCCUUGGGUUGUAAAGCUCUUUCGUCGGGGAAGAAAAUGACUGUACCCGAAUAAGAAGGUCCGGCUAACUUCGUGCCAGCAGCCGCGGUAAUACGAAGGGACCUAGCGUAGUUCGGAAUUACUGGGCUUAAAGAGUUCGUAGGUGGUUGAAAAAGUUAGUGGUGAAAUCCCAGAGCUUAACUCUGGAACUGCCAUUAAAACUUUUCAGCUAGAGUAUGAUAGAGGAAAGCAGAAUUUCUAGUGUAGAGGUGAAAUUCGUAGAUAUUAGAAAGAAUACCAAUUGCGAAGGCAGCUUUCUGGAUCAUUACUGACACUGAGGAACGAAAGCAUGGGUAGCGAAGAGGAUUAGAUACCCUCGUAGUCCAUGCCGUAAACGAUGUGUGUUAGACGUUGGAAAUUUAUUUUCAGUGUCGCAGGGAAACCGAUAAACACACCGCCUGGGGAGUACGACCGCAAGGUUAAAACUCAAAUGAAUUGACGGGGACCCGCACAAGUAGUGGAGCAUGUGGUUUAAUUCGAAGAUACGCGCAGAACCUUACCAACACUUGACAUGUUCGUCGCGACUCUAAGAGAUUAGAGUUUUCGGUUCGGCCGGACGAAACACAGGUGCUGCAUAGCUGUCGUCAGCUCGUGUCGUGAGAUGUUGGGUUAAGUCCCGCAACGAGCGCAACCCUCACUUUUAGUUGCCAUCAUUAAGUUGGGCACUCUGAAAGAACUGCCAGUGAUAAGCUGGAGGAAGGUGGGGAUGACGUCAAGUCCUCAUGGCCCUUACGUGUUGGGCUACACACGUGCUACAAUGGUAUCUACAACAGGAAGCAAGACUGCGAAGUUAAGCAAAUCCCUAAAAGAUACCUCAGUUCGGAUUGCACUCUGCAACUCGAGUGCAUGAAGCUGGAAUUACUAGUAAUCGUGGAUCAGCGUGCCACGGUGAAUGCGUUCCCGGGUCUUGUACACACCGCCCGUCACACCAUGGGAGUUGGUUCUACCUUAAGGCAAGGUUUUAAACCCUUGACCACGGUAUAGUCAGCGACUGGGGUGAAGUCGUAACAAGGUA
rnacentral:rRNA from 1 species